ACUUAACAGUCAUAUUAUCGAAAGAGCAAACACCGUUUUCAAACGAAAAAUACUCACGAAUAAGAUCGAUGUCUGAAUCACAGGUUGGCCCCAACACAUAAGGAUAGUUCAAAGAAUCGUCAAGUCCAAGUUUGUCAAAUUUAUCAUCUGAAGUAUGAUACAUUUCAGUAAUGCCUGCUAGAUUUAAUGGAACUUGACGACCAUCAGGUCCACGAGCAUCUGACCCUUGCGUAGGUGA